UCCGGUUUGGCACCGGCAGUCCUCCCAGAGUCCCCGACUUGACUCGCUGGCAACUGGGAGCGGGGGUUGCGCUCGUUGCGGGACUUAACCCAACAUCUCACGACACGAGCUGACGACAGCCAUGCAGCACCUGUACAAGUGUCCCGAAGGAGGCACCCUGUUUCUAGGACGGUCCACCGUUGUCUAGCCCAGGUAAGGUUCUUCGCGUUGCGUCGAAUUGAACCACAUGCUCCACCGCUUGUGCGGGCCCCCGUCAAUUCCUUUGAGUUUCAGCCUUGCGGCCGUACUCCCCAGGCGGGGUACUUAUUGCGUUAGCGACGGCACCGAAGGGGUCGCUCCCCCCGGCGCCUAGUACCCAUCGUUUACGGCGUGGACUAC
rnacentral:misc_RNA from 1 species